rnacentral:rRNA from 1 species
GCGAACUGCGUGAUAGGAGCGGAGGUACGGUGUGGGGGGGGUGCGUUGCUCGGGAUUAGUGGUGGGAAAGGGUAGGUAGGCGGUUGUGUAAGGCGGGAGGGAAAUCUCUGGGCUUAACUCAGAGACUGCUUCCGAAACUGCUGUGCUUGAGGGUGGGAGAGGCGCGUGGAAUUGCAGGUGUAGCGGUGAAAUGCGUAGAUAUCUGCAGGAACACCCGUGGCGAAAGCGGCGCGCUGGACCACUACUGACGCUGAGGAACGAAAGCUAGGGGAGCAAACAGGAUUAGAUACCCGAGUAGUC